rnacentral:rRNA from 1 species
AUUGAACGCUGGCGGCAUGCUUUACACAUGCAAGUCGAACGGCAGCGCGGGCCUCGGCCUGGCGGCGAGUGGCGAACGGGUGAGUAAUGCAUCGGAACGUGCCCAGUAGUGGGGGAUAGCCCGGCGAAAGCCGGAUUAAUACCGCAUACGACCUGAGGGUGAAAGCGGGGGACCGUAAGGCCUCGCGCUAUUGGAGCGGCCGAUGUCGGAUUAGCUAGUUGGUGGGGUAAAGGCUUACCAAGGCGACGAUCCGUAGCUGGUCUGAGAGGACGACCAGCCACACUGGGACUGAGACACGGCCCAGACUCCUACGGGAGGCAGCAGUGGGGAAUUUUGGACAAUGGGGGCAACCCUGAUCCAGCCAUGCCGCGUGCGGGAAGAAGGCCUUCGGGUUGUAAACCGCUUUUGUUCGGGAAGAAAUCCUCUGGGCUAAUACCCCGGGGGGAUGACGGUACCGGAAGAAUAAGCACCGGCUAACUACGUG